CUCCCAGUACCGUGGUGAGCUCCCCCAGGUGGUCCAUUCCCCAUUCCCAGUCCCUCCCAGUCCCUCCCAGUGCUCCCAGUACCGUGGUGAGCUCCCCCAGGUGGUCCAUUCCCCAUUCCCAGUCCCUCCCAGUCCCUCCCAGUGCUCCCAGUACCGUGGUGAGCUCCCCCAGGUGGUCCAUUCCCCAUUCCCAGUCCCUCCCAGUCCCUCCCAGUGCUCCCAGUACCGUGGUGAGCUCCCCCAGGUGGUCCAUUCCCCAUUCCCAGUCCCUCCCAGUCCCUCCCAGUGCUCCCAGUACCGUGGUGAGCUCCCCCAGG